rnacentral:rRNA from 1 species
GAUGAACGCUGGCUACAGGCUUAACACAUGCAAGUCGUGGGGAAACGGCAUUAUGUGCUUGCACAUUCUGGACGUCGACCGGCGCACGGGUGAGUAUCGCGUAUCCAACCUGCCCCUUACUUGGGGAUACCCCGUUGAAAGACGGCCUAAUACCCGAUGUGUUUCAUUGACGGCAUCCGAUAUGAAACAAAGGUUUUUUCCGGUAAGGGAUGGGGAUGCGUCUGAUUAGCUUGUUGGCGGGGCAACGGCCCACCAAGGCGACGAUCAGUAGGGGUUCUGAGAGGAAGGUCCCCCACAUUGGAACUGAGACACGGUCCAAACUCCUACGGGAGGCAGCAGUGAGGAAUAUUGGUCAAUGGACGCAAGUCUGAACCAGCCAAGUAGCGUGCAGGAUGACGGCCCUAUGGGUUGUAAACUGCUUUUAUGUGGGAAUAAAGUGGCGCACGUGUGCGCCAUUGCAUGUACCUCAUGAAUAAGGACCGGCUAAUUCCGUGCCAGCAGCCGCGGUAAUACGGAAGGUCCGGGCGUUAUCCGGAUUUAUUGGGUUUAAAGGGAGUGUAGGCGGUCUGUUAAGCGUGUUGUGAAAUUUAGGUGCUCAACAUUUAACUUGCAGCGCGAACUGUCAGACUUGAGUACACGCAGCGCAGGCGGAAUUCAUGGUGUAGCGGUGAAAUGCUUAGAUAUCAUGAGGAACUCCGAUCGCGAAGGCAGCCUGCGGGAGUGUUACUGACGCUUAAGCUCGAAGGUGCGGGUAUCGAACAGG